AACAGCUAUGAGUCACAUGAAUGACACAGGAAACCAAGCAAGCUGAAGACUUUUUAAAUUUUCCACCUGCACUUGCACGUUCUCCCCGUGUCAUCAUGGGGUUUCUUCCAGGUGCUCUAUGGUUUCCACCUACAGACCAAAAACAUGCUGAGGUUCCACUCCCCUUUAUCUGCCUGCAGAGUGUGAGAAUGGAAACGACAGAGACAGUGAAGGUACAGAGGAUGACGAAGUGAGUGUUAGUUCCCACAGAUCUGGGCUCAGCGACACACACACAUAUGGAUCAUCUGAUGCUCCUGUUUCUUCUCAUUGCUGGGCUCACAGGUGCUGACAGUGUGUCCACAGUGAGAGAAGUGUCUGUACAGAGUGGAGGAUCUGUCACCAUCCCAUGUUUCUAUAAUGACAGAUAUAAAACAAAUGUGAAAUACUGGUGCAAAUGGAGUUCAUGUCCUCCCAUAUUAUGCACUGAUUCACCCCAGGAAGGUAAAGUCUCAAUCAGAGAUGAUCCUGACCAGCGAGUCUUCGCUGUGACCAUCAACAAUCUGACAGCUGGGGACUCAGAUUAUUAUUCAUGUGGUGUGAGGAUCAGUGGACGUUCAGAUGCUAGAGCAUCACUUCACCUUUCAGUCAUUGAUGGUUCCCCAGGGCUGUCAGUGGACAAACAGGAGGUGACUGGUGUGGAAGGAGACAGUGUCAGUGUUCAGUGUCACUAUACAGAUGAUUAUGGUCAGAGGAUGUGGUGUAAGAUGGGCGGCUCCUGUGUAUCAGUUAGAUCUGGGAGUUUGGAUCAGAGGCCUGUCCUGAUAAGGGAUGACACAGUAAAUAAAGUCUUCAGUGUGACAGUGAGGGGACUGGAGACGAAGGACACAGGCUGGUAUUGGUGUGCUGCUGGAGACCAGCAGAUACCAGUUCAUAUUACUGUCAGUCAGACGACUACAACCACAACCAGCACUGAAGCAUAUGAUGAAGAAGGAGUGAAUAAUGAAAAACCGAGGUGGGAUCCGGUUCUGGGUGCUGUACUGAAAGCUGGGACUGGUGUGUUUUAUCUGAUUUGCACCAUCAUCGCCAUUCAGCUGCACUGGAGCUCCUAUAGAAAGAGGGGAUCCAAUCAGAGAGAAGCAGAGGGAGGAGCCAAUACAAACCAUGAGUCUUAGGGAAUUGUGAUUAAAUUUACAAGCUCAUUAAUCCCAUUAUAAUGACUAGCAUCAACUGAAGAAACCUCAAGGUUGUAUCUGCAGGCUUACGCUGUGAAAUAUAUUUUAAUAUUUCAGAUUAUGCUGUAGCCAUUUAUUUGUCCAUGAAUCUUCCAGUGUCGGAGGAAGCUGGGAGGGGAAUGACCUUUGUGGAGUAAAAUGAGACAGAAGACCUGUAAAAUAAAUGGUUAUGCUAACUGCAGUGAGGCCUCUCUCACGCAGCCCUGCUCAAUCUGUCCAGAUGUACCAAACUGUGGAUUUUAAUUUUUUGCGUUGUCAGCUGGAAAAUCUCAAGCACAAGACCCAUACUCAUACCUAUGGAUGAGUGUGGGCUUAUUUUUAGUGGCUGGAGUGUUAAUCCUGCCACUGACCCCCAUUCUCAACAUGUAUGUUGAACUUCCCUACUAGGCUGAACAACGAUUAACAUCACACCCAAGAUUGCUCAAGGACCAAACAGAGCAAGAUAAUUCCUGACAUUCACAGGAUUUAAAUCAGCAACAUUAUGACUGCUGAUACAGAUCCCCAGCCUAAGAGCUGUAGCUCCAGGCUAUUAUGUAUCUAAUAAUACAUCAGAGAGACUGUCUGUGGCAUUCCAUUUUCAGUUGCGGUGGGUUUCAAAAUAUGGGCUUCCAAAAAUCAAGCCUAAUAAAAAAAAUUAAAUAUUAAAUGAGCAAAUUCAUUUGAUUUGUCCUUCUAUCCCAACUUGUGAUCUAAAAGCAAUGAGGCUGCCACACAUAAUAUCUGCUCUAUGGAAAUGCACUCCCAUAGCCUCUAGGGGAGCUCUCACCUUCUUUCAGGUCUGCUAAAUUAUGUUGCAAUUCAUUCCACUUGAAAAGAUACAACUUAAA